ACAAAACAUGGGAGUUACACUGUGAAGUCAGGCUGCCACCUUGCACACCAUCUCAAAGUGUUGUUGCAAUCUUCGAUCUCAUCAGGGGAUCCAGGACCAGUUUCGGCUGCCAAUGGUAUUGCUUUUUGGAAACAAUUUCGGAAAAUUCAACUCCCACCCAAGAUGUCUUUCUUUCUUUGGAAAGCCCUUAAAGAAAGACUCCCUUCGAACGUUCUCCUUCAUAAUCGAUUUGAAGGGUUUCCCUUUAAUUGUGCAGAAAACUGAAACUCUAAAACAUCUCUUCUUUUCCUGUCCGAAAACUAUUAAAGUUUGGUUCCACUCCCCAUGAAAGGAACUAUUAAGCUU
rnacentral:misc_RNA from 1 species